GUGAGCCAUUUGAAGUGCUUUGCAGCUGAAGUUAAGACCAGAAAAAAAGUCAAUUCAAGGUCAGAGUUCUAGCCAUUCUUGAUGUUGCCUUGCUCUAUUUAAAAAUGAUGCAGAGAUCCUCUGACCCCUGCUUCCAGCUUCGUGGAACUUCUACUGAUGCUACUGAAUUUUUAUGUAUGUUAAAUGAAUCUUGUAUUAUUUUAGUUUUAAUUUUUGGUGUUAGGUAUAAUUUUACUAUGCAAUAUUUGGGGGACCAUAUAGAAUUUUUUUUCAACUUGAAUGUGAAUUUUAGCUCUCUACUUUAUCCUAAUCAUUUCUCUAAGGGGAAGAGGGGACUAGAUGAUUACUAAUCUUAGGGCUUUGCAAACAUUCAAGCUCAUGGAAAAUGGAAGAAUAUCCUAGUCUUCGGUCCAUUGUGUUGUUUGCCAUUUCUGUUGUUCCUCUCAUCAAGUGAUGCUGCUGUGAAGAAUUGCUUGUCUACUAUUAUUCAGGUACUGCUGCUCCAGAAUGACUCAGAUGCUUUUACAGUAUUUCUCUUUACUGACCACAGGCUCUGUCACACAGACCCUCUUCUGUAUAUUUUAGGUCUCAGGACUUUGAGGCGAGAUUCCCAGGAGGUCCAAAAGCUUGAUCUUCUCUAGUCUCUGGCAUUGGGAGAAACGUCUGUGAACGUGCACCAGGUAAGAGUAUUAGAAAGUCCUUCUGUCCCUUCACUAGUCUCUGAGAAGCUACCCUUUCUUCUCCAAAAUGAUCCAUUUUCCAAAAUGACUGCAAGCACAGUUUCUAGCCCCUCCUCCCUCUGGGACUACCUGGCCUAAUUACUGAAAGUUACUUUGAUUCCCAAGAAAAAGCCCAAAAGAGAGUUACCUCCUUGCUACCAGAUAAUCUUUGUUCCUGCCUCCAAAAACCCAAAGCUGUUAACAAGCCCUUAAAGGAAAUGAGUACAAUGCUGGACAUUCCUACUUCUAAGGGUCUGGGUAAUUGCAAUGCAAUUACAUUUCUAGUUCUUCUGAGAGUCUCACAUAGGAGUGAGAAUAAGACAGAAAUUAUUAUCACAGUA
rnacentral:lncRNA from 1 species